rnacentral:rRNA from 1 species
UGGGGUAUAUUGCACAAUGGGCGCAAGCCUGAUGCAGCCAUGCCGCGUGUGUGAAGAAGGCCUUCGGGUUGUAAAGCACUUUCAGCGGGGAGGAAGGCGAUAAGGUUAAUAACCUUGUCGAUUGACGUUACCCGCAGAAGAAGCACCGGCUAACUCCGUGCCAGCAGCCGCGGUAAUACGGAGGGUGCAAGCGUUAAUCGGAAUUACUGGGCGUAAAGCGCACGCAGGCGGUCUGUCAAGUCGGAUGUGAAAUCCCCGGGCUUAACCUGGGAACUGCAUUCGAAACUGGCAGGCUAGAGUCUUGUAGAGGGGGGUAGAAUUCCAGGUGUAGCGGUGAAAUGCGUAGAGAUCUGGAGGAAUACCGGUGGCGAAGGCGGCCCCCUGGACAAAGACUGACGCUCAGGUGCGAAAGCGUGGGGAGCAAACAGG